rnacentral:rRNA from 1 species
UACGGAGGGUGCAAGCGUUAUCCGGAUUCACUGGGUUUAAAGGGUGCGUAGGUGGCAUGGUAAGUCAGUGGUGAAAUCUCCAAGCUUAACUUGGAAACUGCCGUUGAUACUAUCAUUCUUGAAUAUCGUGGAGGUAAGCGGAAUAUGUCAUGUAGCGGUGAAAUGCUUAGAUAUGACAUAGAACACCGAUUGCGAAGGCAGCUUGCUACACGAUCAUUGACACUGAGGCACGAAAGCGUGGGGAGCAAACAGG